UACGUAGGGGGCAAGCGUUGUCCGGAAUCAUUGGGCGUAAAGAGCGUGUAGGCGGCCUGGUAAGUCCGCUGUGAAAGUCCAGGGCUCAACCCUGGAAUGCCGGUGGAUACUGUCGGGCUAGAGUCCGGAAGGGGCGAGUGGAAUUCCCGGUGUAGUGGUGAAAUGCGUAGAUAUCGGGAGGAACACCAGUGGCGAAGGCGACUACCUGGCCUGUUCUUGACGCUGAGGCGCGAAAGCUAGGGGAGCAACGGG
rnacentral:rRNA from 1 species